rnacentral:rRNA from 1 species
AACGCUAGCUACAGGCUUAACACAUGCAAGUCGAGGGGCAGCAUGGUCUUAGCUUGCUAAGGCCGAUGGCGACCGGCGCACGGGUGAGUAACACGUAUCCAACCUGCCGUCUACUCUUGGACAGCCUUCUGAAAGGAAGAUUAAUACAAGAUGGCAUCAUGAGUCCACAUGUUCACAUGAUUAAAGGUAUUCCGGUAGACGAUGGGGAUGCGUUCCAUUAGAUAGUAGGCGGGGUAACGGCCCACCUAGUCUUCGAUGGAUAGGGGUUCUGAGAGGAAGGUCCCCCACAUUGGAACUGAGACACGGUCCAAACUCCUACGGGAGGCAGCAGUGAGGAAUAUUGGUCAAUGGGCGCAGGCCUGAACCAGCCAAGUAGCGUGAAGGAUGACUGCCCUAUGGGUUGUAAACUUCUUUUAUAAAGGAAUAAAGUCGGGUAUGCAUACCCGUUUGCAUGUACUUUAUGAAUAAGGAUCGGCUAACUCCGUGCCAGCAGCCGCGGUAAUACGGAGGAUCCGAGCGUUAUCCGGAUUUAUUGGGUUUAAAGGGAGCGUAGAUGGAUGUUUAAGUCAGUUGUGAAAGUUUGCGGCUCAACCGUAAAAUUGCAGUUGAUACUGGAUAUCUUGAGUGCAGUUGAGGCAGGCGGAAUUCGUGGUGUAGCGGUGAAAUGCUUAGAUAUCACGAAGAACUCCGAUUGCGAAGGCAGCCUGCUAAGCUGCAACUGACAUUGAGGCUCGAAAGUGUGGGUAUCAAACAGGAUUAGAUACCCUGGUAGUCCACACGGUAAACGAUGAAUACUCGCUGUUUGCGAUAUACAGCAAGCGGCCAAGCGAAAGCGUUAAGUAUUCCACCUGGGGAGUACGCCGGCAACGGUGAAACUCAAAGGAAUUGACGGGGGCCCGCACAAGCGGAGGAACAUGUGGUUUAAUUCGAUGAUACGCGAGGAACCUUACCCGGGCUUAAAUUGCAGAUGAAUUACGGUGAAAGCCGUAAGCCGCAAGGCAUCUGUGAAGGUGCUGCAUGGUUGUCGUCAGCUCGUGCCGUGAGGUGUCGGCUUAAGUGCCAUAACGAGCGCAACCCUUGUUGUCAGUUACUAACAGGUUCCGCUGAGGACUCUGACAAGACUGCCAUCGUAAGAUGUGAGGAAGGUGGGGAUGACGUCAAAUCAGCACGGCCCUUACGUCCGGGGCUACACACGUGUUACAAUGGGGGGUACAGAGGGCCGCUACCACGCGAGUGGAUGCCAAUCCCAAAAACCUCUCUCAGUUCGGACUGGAGUCUGCAACCCGACUCCACGAAGCUGGAUUCGCUAGUAAUCGCGCAUCAGCCACGGCGCGGUGAAUACGUUCCCGGGCCUUGUACACACCGCCCGUCAAGCCAUGGGAGCCGGGGGGUACCUGAAGUGCGUAACCGCGAGGAGCGCCCUAGGGUAAAACUGGUGACUGGGGCUAA